AGCGCAGGCGGUGCGGCAAGUCUGAUGUGAAAGCCCGGGGCUCAACCCCGGUACUGCAUUGGAAACUGUCGUACUAGAGUGUCGGAGGGGUAAGCGGAAUUCCUAGUGUAGCGGUGAAAUGCGUAGAUAUAUGGAGGAACACCAGUGGCGAAGGCGGCUCUCUGGUCUGUAACUGACGCUGAGGCUCGAAAGCGUGGGAGCAAACA
rnacentral:rRNA from 1 species